UCUAGCAGUGAUGAUGCACUUGCCCUCACUGAGAAUGUGGUUCUGCAAUGAAUAUGGAUAUGUCAGA